rnacentral:lncRNA from 1 species
CUAGCUGUUGCUAGUGGAAGCAAUGUGAAGCCGUGCCUUUCAAGCAUUGAAUUGCAGAGGAUUGAGCUGGUAGUUUAAAGGAAAGCAACUCCUUAGAUGCCUGGAUCCUCUAUUCCUGGUGGAUCUCCACAAGAUCUGACCCAUGAAUCUGGAUUUUCAUCCAAGAGUGCUGGACGCUGAGUUUAAGAAUAAAGUCUGAAUGACAAUAUGGUCUGCUGAGGUC